rnacentral:rRNA from 1 species
UGGCAUACGGUUCAGUAACACGUAGUCAACAUGCCCAGGGGACGUGGAUAACCUCGGGAAACUGAGGAUAAACCGCGAUAGGCCAAGGUUUCUGGAAUGGACAAUGGCUGAAACCUAUAUGGCCCCUGGAUUGGACUGCGGCCGAUCAGGCUGUUGGUGAGGUAAUGGCCCACCAAACCUGUAACCGGUACGGGCUCUGAGAGGAGGAGCCCGGAGAUGGGCACUGAGACAAGGGCCCAGGCCCUAUGGGGCGCAGCAGGUGCGAAACCUCUGCAAUAGGCGAAAGCUUGACAGGGUUACUCUGAGUGAUGUCCGCUAAGGGCAUCUUUUGGCACUUCUAAAAAUAGUGUAGAAUAAGGGGUGGGCAAGUCUGGUGUCAGCCGCCGCGGUAAUACCAGCACCCCGAGUGGUCGGGACGAUUAUUGGGCCUAAAGCAUCCGUAGCCGGUUCUGCAAGUCUUCCGUUAAAUCCACCUGCUCAACAGAUGGGCUGCGGAGGAUACUACAGGGCUAGGAGGCGGGAGAGGCAAGCGGUACUCAGUGGGUAGGGGUAAAAUCCUCUGAUCCACUGAAGACCACCAGUGGCGAAGGCGGCUUGCCAGAACGCGCUCGACGGUGAGGGAUGAAAGCUGGGGGAGCAAACCGGAUUAGAUACCCGGGUAGUCCCAGCUGUAAACGAUGCAGACUCGGUGAUGGGUUGGCUUCGAGCCAACCCAGUGCCGCAGGGAAGCCGUUAAGUCUGCCGCCUGGGGAGUACGGUCGCAAGACUGAAACUUAAAGGAAUUGGCGGGGGAGCACCACAAGGGGUGAAGCCUGCGGUUCAAUUGGAGUCAACGCCGGA